UUUUCUUUUUUUUUUGGUCCUCAGUCUCUUGCAAUCAUAAGAUCUAUACAAUUUUGGGCUCGUCUUAAAUUUCUAAUUCAUGUUCCUAUAACUGCUUUUCUUAGGCUUUGGUUUUUUGGACUGCUGUAAGUUCAGUCUCACCUAGUGAGGAUUUGAAAUUUCCCUUGCAAUUCUUGUUCCUCUGUCUUGUUUUGUUCAAUUUGAAUAUGGUAAUGCCUCUUAUUGUUGUGGGACAGGUAAAUGACAAAGUUUGUGACCUUAAGAUGGUUGCCGAGGGUAAAUAAUACAAAUUUUUGCUUUAUCUUGUCUUCAUUUACAUGAUUUGGGAUUCCUUGGAAUGACAUGGAUCUAACUUAUGUCUUUAGGUUUGCAUCAUAGUUCUUUUGAUAAAAGUUUGAAUGGUUUGCAUCAUAGGUUACGAUUACCAAGGAGCUAAUUCGUUCAGAAAGGUUUGUAUCAUAGUUCGUAACCUUAGAUUGUUGCUUAUUAAUUUCCUAGUUGUAGAAAGUGAGUGGGUAGAUACUGUCAUUGCUGAACCAAGUCCAUAUCCAGGCUGAAGUUUUUGCCAUUCUGGACUCAUAUUUGAGCUCUGAAGUUUUUGCCAUGCUUCUGUAUAAGUUGGUGAUGUCUAUUUUGUUGUUUUAUGUGGACAAUGUUUGAUUAUUUUUAUCUUGAUCUGCCUACAGGAUUGGAAACUGAUUUGGACUUUCUUGUACUUGAGCUGGCGAGUUUGUGUAGAAGUCUUAAAUCUUUCUUGAACUUAAACUGUGUAGACUACAACAAUAAGAAAUCUCACAUUGUCUUGAUUUUUCAUUUUGCUUAUGAGUCCUUUAAUAUAGUGUUCCCACUAACUGUGAUGCUAUACUAUUCCUUGUUCAAUUUAUUUGUAGGUUUUGGUCCUUGCUAGCUCUUUUAAGGCAUUUGUUUUGGUGAAGUUGACUUUCCUCAAUCGAAUUGGUCCUUCUCUAUAGGAGAACAAUUCCACAUUGUUGGCUGGCUGGUAAUUAUGAAUUUUAAAAGUUAAAUUAACAUUGUAAAAAAAAAAGAAAAAAAAAGAAAGUGCUUGCAUUAUGUGUAUUUUAGGCUCCAUUUGUUUGGUUUUAACUAAUCCCAGCAUUACUUGGCAUUUUUGUCCCUGAUCCUUUUUCUAACUGCUGUCUACGUGCACUUAUUACAGCUUUUAAGAACUUAAGAUCGUCAAUUUUGUCAUUGGGCAGUCAUAUAAGAUAACAGCAGCCAGCUUUAAAAAUGGUUGUUUGAAUGCCAGAAAAAAUAUAAGAUUUACCCUGUAUACUCUUCCAUUCGUUAUGCAACUUUUGCAAUUGUAGGUGCAUGUGAAAAUAUCUCACUGGGAAUAUUUUUUGGUGCUUGGCAGCUUAAGGCUUGUUGUUGUUGUUGGCAGCUUAAGUGAUGGAGUUUAGUUUGGUGAUAAGCAAUAUUUUCUUUCCCCAUCGUUUUCUUUAUUCUCUCCAUCAAUCAUAUGAAUUAUAAGCCACUAAAGUUUUGAGCUUUCUAUAUCUGUUUGGUCAUCCUGUGUUGGGAGUUUCAUAUCCAAUUUGGUUUGCCGCUUAUUAUCUAUCUACCGAAUGCAACAUUUUUUUUUUUAAUUAUUAUUUUUGUGGUAUGCCACUUAAGCAGUGGAGUCUGAUUUGGCAAUAGGCUCUCUUUUCCUCCCUUUUUAUGUUACUUCCUUUUCCUCUACUACAAUCAUAAGAAUUUGGAGGAUAAUUUUUUCUUGUUUUAAUGCCUUUCUAAUAGGGUAUGUGAAUGCUUUUCCUAGGAGAGUUACAAGUUCUAGUCUCCUAAGUGAGGUUUUGAAACUUCUACGGUAAUUUUUGUUCCUUUUACUUGCUGUCUCAUUUAAUUUUUGGUCAUUUUGUGUUGGCAACCUCAGUAAUGAAUACCCAGUUUAAGCCAGUGAUGUCUCUUAUUGGUGUGGAGCAGUAAUAUAGCCAUGUGUGACCUGAAUUUGGUUGUGGACGUAAAACAAUACAGGUUUUGCUUUCUCUUCUCUUAGCAGUAUUUGGAAUUUUUGGGAAUUACAAGGAAUUCACUUUAUAUUUCUAGAUUUGCUUCAUAAUUUGUUAAGUUGGAUUGUUGUUGAUUCUUUUCCGUGUCACCAAAUAUCUGGCAACAGGGAAGAGCUAGGCUUUCAGUGUUUUAAGUACUUAUCUUUAUAUUUGUUGGAUUAUAUUUAUUCCGAAAUAUAGUAAGUUUAUUUUAUUCAUUGUUUUGAAACUCUUAGUGUAUGCUAAAAAUCUAUUCCUCAUAAAUCUACAGGAACCGGUAUUUUCUUUUUGGAUACUUAGCAGAAGUGGUUUGAGUUUGAUAUAGUGAUAAGCUCUCUUUUUGUCCCGCUUUAAUCUCUUUCUUGCCAUCAUAAGAAUUAUACAAAUUUUGGCUCUUUUAAUUCUUUAUAAUAUCUGGGCCUGCUUUUGUUAGGCUUAGCUUUUCUGGACAGCCAUAAAUUCAAUGUCCCGCCUAGUGAGGGUUUGAAAUUUCCCUAGCAAUUAUAUUUCCUCUGUCCUGUCUUGUUUAAUUUUUUUCUCAUUCAAUCUGAAGAUGGUAAUGCCUCUUAUUGUUGUGGGGCAGGUAAAUUAACAAAUUUUGUAGCCGAUCUUUGCCAGGGAAAAAUAAUACAGGCUUUGGCUUUAUCCUGUUAUGAUUUGCAUGUGUUGGGCUUUGUAGGAACAGCAUGGAUCAAAUUUAUGUCUCUAGAAUUGCAUUAUAGUUUGUAACCUUAGAUUGUUGCUGAUUGCUUUCCUUGUCGUAGAAAGUGAGUGGGCAAAUACUGUUAAUAUCAAAUCAGGUUCAUUUUCAGUCUGAAGUUUUUGCUAUUUCUGGUCUCAUAUUUGAGCACUGAUUGACAUGUUUCUUUAUAAGCUGUAGAUGUCCAUCUUGUUGUUUUGUGUGGACAAUGUUGAUUAUUUUAAUCUUGAUCUAUCUACAGCUGGGGAAAUUGAGUUGUACUUUCUUGUACUUGAGCAGCUGAGUUUGUAUAAAAGUCUUACUUUUUUUUUUGAACUUGGCUGCAUUGACUGUAACAAUAAAAAGGCUCUUUUUUUUUGGGUUCUUGAAUUUCACAUUUUGCUUAUACGUCCUUAGUAUAGUGUCCCCACUAACAUGAUACUAUACUAUUUCUUGUUCAAUUUUCUUGUAGGUUUUGGUCCUUGACAGCUCUGUGAAGGCAUGUGUUUCUGUGAAGUUGGCUUUUCUAGAUUGAUUUGGUUCUUGUCUGUAGGAGCACAAUCCCUUAUUGUUGGCUGGCUGGUAAUGUUAAGUUUAAAAAUUCAAUUAACAUUGUAAAUGAAAAUUGUUGCUUGCAUUGUGUGUUUUUCAGGCUUCAUUUGUUUGGUUUUAACUAAUUACAGAACUACUUAGGAUUUUUGUCCUGGUUCCUUUCUCUAUUGCUGUCUACUUGCACUUCUUACUACUUUUAAGAACCUAAGGUCUUCAAUAUCAUCAUUGGGCAGUCAUAUAAGAUAAAAGCAGCCAGCUUCAAACAUGGUUGUUUUGAAUGUCAUCAAUUCUAGUCAUUUUUGCAACUUUUGCAAUUUUGGGUCCAUGUGAAAAAUUCUCUCCAGAUUUUUUUUGGUGCCAGGCAGCUCAAGCAGUAGAGUUUGGUUUGGCGAUAAGCUUCCUUUUUCCUCCCUUGUUUUCUUUAUUCUAUGCUACAAUCAAAUGAAUUAUAAGAAUAUUUUUCCAAUUGUUCUAAUUCCUUCUAAUACUUGGGACAUGUAUGCAUUUCUUAGGAUUUGGUUUCCUUGAGGAUUAUAAAUUCCAGUCACACUCAAUGAGGGUUUGAAACUUUCAUUGGAAUUCUUGUCCCCUUGUCCUGCUGACUCAUUCAAUUUUUAGUCAUUAUGUUUUGGCAAGCUGAUAUAUGAUUUUUUUAUAGUAGUUACAUUUAUUGGUGUGGGCAGAUCACGUGCCUUGGUGAUUGGCAUGAGUUGGGCCUUCUGGGCAUUACAUGAAGAAUUUGCAUCAUAAUCUGUAAUCUUAAGGUUAUUGCCGAUUGAUUUCCUCAUCAUAGAAAGUGAGUUGGCAGAUCUUGUCAAUAUCGAACCAAGUUGUUAAUCUGAAGUCUUUGUUAUUCUGGACUGUACAAUUUGGGCACUGAGUAACACAGGCAUCUUUAUAAGCUGGUGAUGAUCUCUUUUUGGUUUUAUGAACACAAUGUUGAUAAUUUUUAUUUUGAUUGUUUACUGGAGGCAAAACUGAUUUUGACUUACCUGUAUUUAUCGUGUAGAGAUGAGUUCUUUGAAAGAAAGUUUUUAUGGCAACUUCUGCAGUUUUGAGUGUGUGUUAAAAUCUCAAUCCUAACAUGUCUACAGGAAGCAGAUUUUUUUUUUUGGGACUUAUGGGGGAAGUUAGAUUCUGCAAUAAGAUCUCUUUUCCUUCUGUUAGUGUCUGCCUGUGAUGGUUUGAAACUUCCGUUGCAAUUCUUUUCCUUUUGUAAUACAGUCUUGUUUAGUUUUGAUCAUUCUGGUUGGUACAACUCAUCUCUUAUUUGUAUGGGUCAGGUAGAUUGGUAGUGAUGGUGAUCCAAAUUUGGUUGUGGAGGUAGAAUAAUACUGGUUUUUGCUUUGCCCUGUGAUUGGCAAUAAGUUGGCUUUAUAAUAUAUCCGAUCUGCCUGCUUUAAAGACUUGCUGUUCUCUAAAUGCCUGAGAAAUGUGAGUAUCUGCUUCCUUAUGUACACUAUAGGUAGAUUCCUCUUAUUGAUGUGGGGCAGGUAGAUUGAUGUCAAUGCUUUUGUUGCCAAGGGAGAAUUAUAUAGUUUAUUGGUUUGUCCUGUAAUUGCCAUUAGUUGGGGUUUUCUGUAAAUGAAAUGCUUUUAACUUACGUAUUUGAAUUUUGCAUCAUUAUUCAUAUAAUAUGUUGCUAAUUGAUUUCCAAUUCAAAGAAAAUGAGUGAGUAGAUGCCAUCAAGACUUCUUUAUAAGUUGGUGAUGUUUAUUUUGUGGUUGUGACGAGUACUUUCCUAGCUCCUACAAUUGUUUUGUAUGUUGAAACAAAAAUGUUUGAUUAUUUAAACUUGAUAUGUAUGCUGGAGGGGAAAUUGUGAUUUGGGCUUUCUUGUACUUGAGCAACAGAGUUUUUGUAAAAGUCUUGCUUAAAAAUGGUGCUUGAGCUGUGUAAUUGAAUGUGACAAUUGAAAACUCCUUUUAUUCUUUCGUCUUCAUUCUUCUCUUAUUAAUCUUUUGAUAUACUCUUCCUCGAAUGUGUUUACCAUUCCUAGUUGUUCAAUUUGUUUUAUAGAUUUCGGUGCUAGGCUACUUUUCAAGGCAUUUUUUGCAGCAAAUUUGGCAUCUAGAUCGACAGUAAUUUCCUCUUAAAUUUGCAUAAAAAAGAAGGUAAUUUCCUCUUUAACUACUUACUUGACUCUUUAUUCUUGUUAUCUUUUGCUUUUUUUUU